UGGCCAAUGAUUGUGGCUGCACCUGAUUCAUUUUGGUGCAGCAACAGCCAUUGGUCAUA
rnacentral:pre_miRNA from 1 species